UCUACGGGAGGCAGCAGUGGGGAAUAUUGGACAAUGGGAGCAACCCUGAUCCAGCAAUGCCGCGUGUGUGAAGAAGGUUUUCGGAUUGUAAAGCACUUUCGGCGGGGACGAUGAUGACGGUACCCGCAGAAGAAGCCCCGGCUAACUUCGUGCCAGCAGCCGCGGUAAUA
rnacentral:rRNA from 1 species